rnacentral:rRNA from 1 species
UACGGAGGGUGUAAGCGUUAUCCGGAUUUAUUGGGUUUAAAGGGUGCCUAGGCGGCUGUCUAAGUCCGUGGUGAAAGGCUCCAGCUCAACUGGAGCAGUGCCAUGGAUACUGGACAGCUUGAGUGCAGUUGAGGUAGGCGGAAUUUAUGGUGUAGCGGUGAAAUGCAUAGAUACCAUAAAGAACACCGAUAGCGAAGGCAGCCUACUAAAGUGUAACUGACGCUGAGGUGCGAAAGCGUGGGGAGCAAACAGG